CAGGAGGUAGUUUAAUGAUAAAAUUUUGGUUUUGGAGACCAGUGAAAUAGAUAAUCUUUCU
rnacentral:tRNA from 1 species